CGAGUCGUUUCCUUCAAACAUCUCAAGUGAAGAAAGACCAAGAAUGUGGAGCAUGCUUUGCUGCCCCACCCGGAGCACACUCUCUCUGUCUUUCUCUGCCCCCGCUCCAACUGCAACGUUUUUGCCGGUUGAACAAAUGAUGAUAGACUAAUCAUAGUCAAUAAGGUCGCAAAUAAUGAUGGGGUGAAUUAAGAGGUGCUGCUCAUUCCUAGCAUGAAGCGGCAUGCUUUGACUCUGAACAGGCUAUUGUUGCUGUAUGUCGGAUAAAAAAUUGCAAAUGGCUUUGUGUGAUUUCCUUUGUGACUCCUAUAUACAUUUGUUAGCAUGCACCCCAACUGCUUCCUGCUACAACAGGAUGUUGGCCGGAAAAUCUAAUUACAUUGGACCACACAAUGAUUACUUUCUCUUGAAGGGUCCAGCUAAGCCUGUUGAAAAGAAACAUCUAAUAACAUUGGACCACCAGGAAAAAGACUGGGAGCAAUGUUUUUAUUAGACCAUGAAAUAUCAUGUGUGUCACAGAAUUCCAUAUACAAAGAAUUUUAUUCUUUUGGAUGUGAGGUUUCACAGGUGGGGAUGCACUAUCUGCUUUUGCCACAUCAGUGAAGAAUAAAGAAAAGAUCUCCAUUCCUUAUGAAUAGCAUUUUAAGCUGGCUGUAUAUGAGAAUGACAACCUGGUCACAGUGAGUGACAACCUGUUGAUAACUCGAAAGUGCUUUGAUGGGUUAUUGUUUGUUUUGAUGUUGGCUCUUGGAGAGCCAUGGCACUCCCCAUGUCAACCGAAUGAAGCAUUUUCUAUUUGCUAGUUGAAUGUAGAAAAAGUGGAAGCAUGUUAUUAAAAACAUAAAUGAUAUUUGAGUAUACUGCUAUAUGAUUGUCAUGUGAAUAUAUUGGCAAACAUUCCAUGUG